rnacentral:rRNA from 1 species
CAGUCGCCACGGUAAUACGUAGGGUGCGAGCGUUAAUCGGAAUUACUGGGCGUAAAGCGUGCGCAGGCGGUUUUGUAAGACAGGCGUGAAAUCCCCGGGCUCGACCUGGGAAUGGCGCUUGUGACUGCAAAGCUAGAGUGCGGCAGAGGGGGAUGGAAUUCCGCGUGUAGCAGUGAAAUGCGUAGAUAUGCGGAGGAACACCGAUGGCGAAGGCAAUCCCCUGGGCCUGCACUGACGCUCAUGCACGAAAGCGUGGGGAGCAAACAGGAUUAGAUACCCCAGUAGUCCCUGUCUCUUAUAC